rnacentral:tRNA from 9 species
GGGCGAUUAGCUCAGUUGGUAGAGCAUCUCGUUUACACCGAGAGGGUCGGGAGUUCGAGUCUCUCAUCGCCCACCA